rnacentral:rRNA from 1 species
AUUGAACGCUGGCGGCAUGCCUUACACAUGCAAGUCGAACGCGAAAGCGGGGCAACCCGCAAGUAGAGUGGCGAACGGGUGAGUAAUACAUCGGAACGUACCCAGUAGCGGGGGAUAACCUCUCGAAAGAGAAGCUAAUACCGCAUACGACCUAUGGGUGAAAGCGGGGGAUCGCAAGACCUCGCACUAUUGGAGCGGCCGAUGUCGGAUUAGCUAGUUGGCGGGGUAACGGCCCACCAAGGCGACGAUCCGUAGCUGGUCUGAGAGGACGACCAGCCACACUGGAACUGAGACACGGUCCAGACUCCUACGGGAGGCAGCAGUGGGGAAUUUGGACAAUGGGCGCAAGCCUGAUCCAGCCAUGCCGCGUGAGUGAAGAAGGCCUGGUU